AGAGUUUGAUCCUGGCUCAGAGCGAACGCUGGCGGCGUGCUUAACACAUGCAAGUCGAGUGCGCGUCUGUAGCAAUACAGAUGGCGCACGGCGCACGGGUGCGUAACACGUGGGCAAUCUGCCCUCGGAUGGGGGAUAACUCGCCGAAAGGCGAGCUAAUACCGCAUGACAUUCCCGGGACUCCGGUCCUGGGACUCAAAGGCCGCAAGGCCGUCUGAGGAGGAGCCCGCGCCCGAUUAGCUAGUUGGUGAGGUAACGGCUCACCAAGGCUUUGAUCGGUAGCCGGUCUGAGAGGAUGGCCGGCCACACUGGAACUGAGACACGGUCCAGACUCCUACGGGAGGCAGCAGUGGGGAAUAUUGCGCAAUGGGCGAAAGCCUGACGCAGCGACGCCGCGUGGGGGAUGAAGCUUUUCGGAGUGUAAACCCCUUUCGACCCGGACGAAUGACCCGCAAGGGUUUGACGGUACGGGUAUAAGAAGCCCCGGCUAACUACGUGCCAGCAGCCGCGGUAAUACGUAGGGGGCCAGCGUUGCUCGGAAUUACUGGGCGUAAAGGGUUCGUAGGUGGUGCGGCAAGUUGGAAGUGAAAUCUCUGGGCUUAACCCAGAGGCUGCUUUCAAAACUGCCGCGCUCGAGUGCGAGAGAGGUCAGUGGAAUUGCAGGUGUAGCGGUGAAAUGCGUAGAUAUCUGCAGGAACACCCGUGGCGAAGGCGGCUGACUGGAUCGCAACUGACACUGAGGAACGAAAGCUAGGGGAGCAAACAGGAUUAGAUACCCUGGUAGUCCUAGCCCUAAACCAUCGGAACUUGGGGUGGCCCGCGUAGGCGGGUCGUCCCGUAGCUAACGCGUUAAGUUCCGCGCCUGGGGAGUACGGUCG
rnacentral:rRNA from 1 species